rnacentral:rRNA from 1 species
GAGGUUCGAUCAUGAAAACCAGAUUGAACGCUGGCGGGAUGCUUUACACAUGCAAGUCGAACGGCAGCACGGACUUCGGUCUGGUGGCGAGUGGCGAACGGGUGAGUAAUGUAUCCGGAACAUGCCCUAGUAGCGGGGGAUAACUGCGGCGUAGCUAAUACCACAUACGCCCUUCGGGGGAAAGCGGGAGGACCUUCGGGCCUCACCGCUGUCGAAGCGGCCGAUAUCGGAUUCGCUAGUUGGUGGGGUAACGGCUCACCAAGGCGACGAUCCGUAGCUGGUUUGAGAGGACGACCAGCCACACUGGGACUGAGACACGGCCCAGACUCCUGCAGGCAACGGUGGGGAAUUUUGGACAGUAAAGGCAGCACAGUCCAGCCAUCCCGCGUGUGCGAUGAAGGCGGGUUGUAAAGCACUUUGGCGGGAAAAACGGCACAGGAUAAUGCCACCCCGUGCAACUGACGGUACCUGCCGGAACCGCGCAAGCUGGCUACGUGCCAGCAGCCGCGGUAAUACGUAGGGUGCAAGCGUUAAUCAGAAUUACUGGGCGUAAAGCGUGCGCAGGCGGUUCGGAAGAAAAGAUGUGAAAUCCCAGAGCUUAACUUUGGAACUGCAUUUUUUAACUACCGAGCUAGAGUGUGUCAGAGGGAGGUGGAAUUCCGCGUGUAGCAGUGAAAUGCGUAGACCAGCACGGAGGAACACCGAUGGCGAAGGCGCUCCUGGGAUAACACUGACGCUCAUGCACGAAAGCGUGGGAGCAAACGGAUUAGAUACCCUGGUAGUCCACGCCCUAAACGAUGUCAACUAGCUGUUGGGGCCUUCGGGCCUUGGUAGCGCAGCUAACGCGUGAAGUUGACCGCCUGGGGAAAUACAGUCGCAAGAUUAAAACUCAAAGGAAUUGACGGGCCACGCACAAGCAGUGGAUGAUGUGGAUUAAUUCGAUGCAACGCGAAAAACCUUACCUACCCUUGGCUGUGUCUGGAAUCGAGAGAUUUGGGAGUGCUCGCAAGAGAACCGGAACACAGGUGCUGCAUGGCUGUCGUCGGCUCGUGUCGUGAGAUGUUGGGUUAAGUCCCGCAACGAAGGCGCAACCCUUGUCGUGGAUUGCUACGAAGGGCAUCUAAUGAGACUGCCGGUGACAAGGAAACCGGAGGAAGGUGGGGAUGACGUCAAGUCCUCUUGGCCCUUAUGGGUAGGGCUUCACACGUCAUACAAUGGUCGGGACAGAGGUCGCCAACCCACGAAGGGGAGCCAAUCCCAGAAACCCGAUCGUAGUCCGGAUCGCAGUCUGCAACUCAUUGCGUGAAGUCGGAAUCGCUAGUAAUCGCGGAUCAGCAUGUCGCGGUGAAUACGUUCCCGGGUCUUGUACACACCGCCCGUCACACCAUGGGAGUGGGUUUACCAGAAGUAGUUAGCCUAACCGUAAGGAGGGCGAUUACCACGGUAAGUUCAUGACUGGGGUGAAGUCGUAACAAAGGUAA